rnacentral:sRNA from 1 species
GGUUUUAACCCCAGUUAAUCAAGGUUAGCAUCAAUUUCGACCUUUCUUUGCACAAAGAAUGUGUUGAAGUCAACUUUUGGAACCGCUUUUCCGGGGAUUCCGGAGAGGCAAA